rnacentral:rRNA from 1 species
UACGGGGGGGGCCAGCGUUGUUCGGAAUUAUUGGGCGUAAAGGGCGCGUAGGCGGCGUGGUAAGUCAGUUGUGAAAUCCCUCGGCUCAACCGAGGAAUUGCGUCUGAGACUGCCAUGCUUGAGUCCCGGAGAGGGUAGCGGAAUUCCCAGUGUAGCGGUGAAAUGCGUAGAUAUUGGGAGGAACACCAGUGGCGAAGGCGGCUACCUGGACGGGCACUGACGCUGAGGCGCGAAAGCGUGGGGAGCAAACAGGAUUAGAUACCCUGGUAGUCCACGCUGUAAACGAUGGGCACUUGGUGUUGCGGGUAUCGACCCCUGCAGUGCCGAAGCUAACGCAUUAAGUGCCCCGCCUGGGGAGUACGGUCGCAAGGCUGAA